rnacentral:rRNA from 1 species
UACGAAGGGGGCUAGCGUUGCUCGGAAUUACUGGGCGUAAAGGGCGCGUAGGCGGACAGUUUAGUCAGAGGUGAAAGCCCAGGGCUCAACCUUGGAAUAGCCUUUGAUACUGACUGUCUUGAGUUCGGGAGAGGUGAGUGGAAUGCCGAGUGUAGAGGUGAAAUUCGUAGAUAUUCGGCGGAACACCGGUGGCGAAGGCGGCCUGCUGGGCAGUUGCUGACACUGAGGCGCGACAGCGUGGGGAGCAAACAGG